rnacentral:rRNA from 1 species
UAUGUGGGGUAGGGGAGCGUUCUGUAAGCCGUUGAAGGUGGUCUGUAAGGGCUGCUGGAGGUAUCAGAAGUGCGAAUGCUGACAUGAGUAACGAUAAAGGGAGUGAAAAACUCCCUCGCCGGAAGACCAAGGGUUCCUGUCCAACGUUAAUCGGGGCAGGGUAAGUCGACUCCUAAGGCGAGGCCGAAAGGCGUAGUCGAUGGGAAACGGGUUAAUAUUCCCGUACUUCUUACAAUUGCGAUGGGGGGACGGAGAAGGCUAGGUGGGCCUGGCGACGGUUGUCCAGGUUCAAGUA